rnacentral:rRNA from 1 species
UACAGAGGGGGCAAGCGUUAUUCGGAAUUACUGGGCGUAAAGGGCUCGUAGGCGGCCAACUAAGUCAGACGUGAAAUCCCCAGGCUCAACCUGGGAACUGCGUCUGAUACUGGAUGGCUUGAAUCCGGGAGAGGGAUGCAGAAUUCCAGGUGUAGCGGUGAAAUGCGUAGAUAUCUGGAGGAAUACCGGUGGCGAAGGCGGCAUCCUGGACCGGCAUUGACGCUGAGGAGCGAAAGCCAGGGGAGCAAACGGG